rnacentral:lncRNA from 1 species
CGUCUAAAGAUUAGUAUAGUGAUUAUCACAAUAUUAUUUAGAGAUAAAUGAUAUUGAGAGGAUACUUGAAUAUCAUCAAUAAUCUUAAGUCUAUAUAGUUGUCAUAAGGAAUCAUAAGUAAUUUGAAUAGUGAACUCCAAUCUUGCCAAGCCUUUUACAUUUGAUUAAAACUAUUUUAUUGUUUUAGUGACAUUUUACUCAAAAGAUAACUUUUCA